GUUUGAUCCUGGCUCAGAUUGAACGCUGGCGGCAGGCCUAACACAUGCAAGUCGAGCGGAAACGACACUAACAAUCCUUCGGGUGCGUUAAUGGGCGUCGAGCGGCGGACGGGUGAGUAAUGCCUAGGAAAUUGCCUUGAUGUGGGGGAUAACCAUUGGAAACGAUGGCUAAUACCGCAUAAUGCCUACGGGCCAAAGAGGGGGACCUUCGGGCCUCUCGCGUCAAGAUAUGCCUAGGUGGGAUUAGCUAGUUGGUGAGGUAAUGGCUCACCAAGGCGACGAUCCCUAGCUGGUCUGAGAGGAUGAUCAGCCACACUGGAACUGAGACACGGUCCAGACUCCUACGGGAGGCAGCAGUGGGGAAUAUUGCACAAUGGGCGAAAGCCUGAUGCAGCCAUGCCGCGUGUAUGAAGAAGGCCUUCGGGUUGUAAAGUACUUUCAGUUGUGAGGAAGGGGGUGUAGUUAAUAGCUGCAUCUCUUGACGUUAGCAACAGAAGAAGCACCGGCUAACUCCGUGCCAGCAGCCGCGGUAAUACGGAGGGUGCGAGCGUUAAUCGGAAUUACUGGGCGUAAAGCGCAUGCAGGUGGUUCAUUAAGUCAGAUGUGAAAGCCCGGGGCUCAACCUCGGAACUGCAUUUGAAACUGGUCAUCUAGAGUACUGUAGAGGGGGGUAGAAUUUCA
rnacentral:rRNA from 1 species